CUGUAAAAAGCAACUCACUUUCGUAGCCCUCUCUCCAACGAAAGUUAUUCUCUCUCUGAUCUAAACCUCUUCCUUUAUCCAUACUUGAAACCCAGAGAAAGUUACUUUCCCAAAUAUGGAACACUUUUUUUUAUUUUCGAUGUCUGGGAGCCAUUGAGAGCAAGGUGAAACCUUUUUGCUUCUUUUUGACAGGUCUCUUGCUAUUUAAGAUUUUUGGUUCAUUGAUGAUUAUUCUUAUCAGUUAUGUGGCUAGCUUUUGUUUUCAAAGUUGGAACAUUUAGUCGUGUGGUGUUUAAUUGAAUACGUAUGUGUUGAUGUGUUUUAUUAAAGCUUAAAGCUUUUUAUCGUUUGUGGUGAUGAAACAUGUAUGUUGUUUGAUGAGUCUUUCUUUUCUAAUUAAGAACUUAUUGUUAUUA